UGGCUCUCGCAUCGAUGAAGAACGCAGCAAAGCGCGAAAUGUAAUGUGAAUUGCAGAAUUCAGUGAAUCAUCGAAUCUUUGAACGCAUCUUGCGCUCUUGGGUCAUUCCUAAGAGCAUGCUUGUUUGAGUAACAGAAAAGCUCAACCCCGUUCUCUUUGUUGAGGAUUGCAAGGGUUAGGAUCGUGGCAGCUUUGUGAUUAAACCUCACUCUGCCGAAAGACAAGCGGCCGAACUUUUAGUUGUGCGCUGACACUAUUGUUGUAACACUUCGGUCUCAAUAGUUAGCACAAUUUUCGCAACAGUAGGCUUUGAAAACCGGUCAGUUUAAAAGUCGCGAGACUUUGAAACUGCGAAUUUUAUUUUGCUUGUUCUCAAAUCAAGUAGGACUACCCGCUGA
rnacentral:misc_RNA from 1 species